ensembl:ncRNA W01D2.9 ncRNA
GCCGUCCGGGUCUGGCGUUUAUGGGUUAUCCAAUUUCUUGAAUCCAUCUCCCACAGACACCUCCUUGACCGGGAAGGUUUUU